UUAAGCACACCGGAGAAAGCUCUCUCACUUACCAGUACCUCUCGGACGCUUGGACCUCAACAAAAACGAAGAGUUGCAGAGAAGAAAAGCGGUAGAUUCGUCCCAGCCGACCUGAGAGGACAAAGAAAAGUGAGAAGACUCGGCUUGCUUUGGUAAAGCUCUCACCUUGAGAGAUCUCCAGUGGGAGUUUGGCCAUCUUACGGGAUCCAAAUCUCCUAUACCAGUGAUUGUUCCCAUGUACCUGUGGAUCAAACGGUCAGUUGCGGAGGAUGCAGUGCUUUCUGAUACUUCGCCAGUGGAAUCACAAACUCCGAGGGGCUCGCCCUGCGAAGAACGCAUCAGCCAGCUCCAAAACAGGAAGAGAACAAA